rnacentral:lncRNA from 1 species
AGGAGGCGAGCCCAUUUCAAGGUCUGAGGGAAGUGGAGCCCCCGCCCACUCAUGGAACCCAACAUCCGGUUUCCAUCCGGCAAAAAGCAGUUCCCGAGAGGACCAUGCUGAUUCUAUGAUGGGGAAACCCAGGAGCCGGCGGCCCGGGAGAGCCGGGGAACGUCCUUCGCCGGAGAUCUUUUCAAAGAGGUCACGCGCCGCCUCCCCACCCCGUCUCCCUCCGCACCCAGACACGUCCCCAGAGCAGCGCACCACCCCCUCCAAACGUGAUGCAGACCGGGGGAUGACUAAAAUGACCUCUCAAAGUCGCUAAGAUUUAGAGUGAGUCAUUGGCUCAGCUGCGAAGUGCCACAGACCCCUCAGGAACACUCGUGCACACACACUCCACCCCCAGUGCUGGUCACUGCUGCUCAUCAUUACUGAAUCCCGACUCCAAGCAGUCAAAGUUGGGUCUUUUUCCCACUUCUCCUGAUAAAGGCUGCUUCCUCACGCACAUGGUUCCUCCCCUCUCCACCUUACUCGGAGCCCAGCCCCGACUCGGCCGCAUGAAACCAAGAUGGGUUUGGGGGAAGCUUUAGGAGUCUGGGAUGGAGGAGACCCAGGGAAAGGGAAGGAGCUUCUCAUCCUACAGAGGAAUGUAAAUAGGAAACUGGAAGGUCUUCGUAUGUUCCAGUCUCCCUACCCUAGCCUGUCUGCUUCCCCUCCCCCAAUACAGUUGUAUUUGCAGAAGAAAUAAAUGAGUGUCAUGGAAACAUCUACUACAAACAAUCACCUCACACCAGCGCUCAGAGGCUGCAGUGAAGAUGUUUGUUCUUUCAAGGAGUGAAGGCAGUGGUAAGAAUCACACCGCUCCCUGGGAUGGGCUGUUGGCCAAGGAAGGAAGGCAGAGGGUCAGCGAGCGAGAGCUCAGGAAUUUCAUCCUCUCAAAGCACUCGUUAGCCACAAAGCCCUGGCUCCAGGACAUGAAGCUCCCAAAACAACAAGAAGGAGACUUGCUUCUGGGAAAGCGUGCACACAGGUGUUCCAGGCCAGCUCUGAACAAUCUCAGAGAAAACAUAUUUCAUUGUUGUGUGACUUAAGGUAGGACUACAGAAAGGAAGUUCAUUACUCUGCAUGAAAUUUGUCCCAUAGAACUCAGGAGCCCUAUAUAGAUAGCCCUGCUUGUGAACUGCCCCCCAGGAACAUUUCACCCACACUGUUCAGCAACUCCUCACCUCGCCAAUGUCUGCAUCAUUAAAAAUGUUGUUCUCAGGCCUCCUGGGGCUACCCUGGCCCACCUGAGUAUGCCCUUGUCUGCCCAUGGCCACAGGCCCCAGCUGCAAGGCGCAGUGACAGAUGAGCAGAGCGAACCUCACUCAAACUCUUGGCAUCCAGAAGUCUGGAAGACAGCUAGAAUCAGGGCUCCACUGCACCAUCCAGCUCUGGCCCCAGCAGCCCAAAGGUGUGGGUCAUUCUCUUUGUCUGAGUUCUACUUCCUCCAUCUGGAAAAGGGACCGUAGAAGGUAGUGGGAACUAAGGCCCAGGAGAGAAGGAUCUGAAGACUCUGAUGGGCAGUUUCUUUGUCACAGACUCUCCAGCAGCCCAAUGUCAUGGCCCUG